AAUCAACGCUGGCGGCGUGCCUAACACAUGCAAGUCGAACGCGAAAGCCCCGAAAGGGGUGAGUAGAGUGGCAAACGGGUGAGUAACACGUGGGUGACCUGCCUUCGAGCGGGGGAUAACGUCCCGAAAGGGACGCUAAUACCGCAUGACAUCCUGCCUUUGAACAGGUGGAGAUCAAAGCUGGGGAUCGCAAGACCUAGCACUCGAUGAGGGGCCCGCGCCUGAUAGCUAGUUGGUGAGGUAACGGCUCACCAAGGCGACGAUCAGUAUCCGGCCUGAGAGGGCGGACGGACACACUGGGACUGAGACACGGCCCAGACUCCUACGGGAGGCAGCAGUGGGGAAUUGUUCGCAAUGGGCGCAAGCCUGACGACG
rnacentral:rRNA from 1 species